GAUGAAGAACGCAGCAAAAUGCGAUAAGUAAUGUGAAUUGCAGAAUUCAGUGAAUCAUCGAAUCUUUGAACGCACAUUGCGCCCGCUGGUAUUCCGGCGGGCAUGCCUGUUCGAGCGUCAUUUCAACCCUCAAGCCCCCGGGUUUGGUGUUGGGGAUCGGCUCUGCCCUUCUGGGCGGUGCCGCCCCCGAAAUACAUUGGCGGUCUCGCUGCAGCCUCCAUUGCGUAGUAGCUAACACCUCGCAACUGGAACGCGGCGCGGCCAUGCCGUAAAACCCCAACUUCUGAAUGUUGACCUCGGAUCAGGUAGGAAUACCCGCUGAACUUAAGCAUAUCAAUCAGCGGAGGA
rnacentral:misc_RNA from 1 species